rnacentral:rRNA from 1 species
GAUGAACGCUAGCUACAGGCUUAACACAUGCAAGUCGAGGGGUAACGAGAGGGAAGCUUGCUUUCCUUGUCGACGACCGGCGCACGGGUGAGUAACGCGUAUCCAACCUGCCCCCAACUAGGGAAUAACCUUGCGAAAGUAAGACUAAUACCCUAUAAUUUCCUCAGAUGUCAUCUGACGAGGAAUAAAGAUUUAUCGGUUGUGGAUGGGGAUGCGUCUGAUUAGCUUGUUGGCGGGGUAACGGCCCACCAAGGCAACGAUCAGUAGGGGUUCUGAGGGGAAGGUCCCCCCCAUUGGAACUGAGACACGGUCCAAACUCCUACGGGAGGCAGCAGUGAGGAAUAUUGGUCAAUGGGCGGAAGCCUGAACCAGCCAAGUAGCGUGCAGGAUGACGGCCCUAUGGGUUGUAAACUGCUUUUAUACAGGAAUAAAGUUAGCCACGUGUGGUUAUUUGUAGGUACUGUAUGAAUAAGGACCGGCUAAUUCCGUGCCAGCCGCCGCAGUAA